rnacentral:tRNA from 1 species
GCGGGCGUGGCGGAAUUGGCAGACGCGCCAGACUUAGGAUCUGGUGCCCUAGGCGUGAAGGUUCGAGUCCUUUCGCCCGCA